GACGAACCACACGAACGUUAUUCGGAAUUACUGGGCUUAAAGGGUGCGUAGGCGGCGCGGUAAGUUGGAUGUGAAAGCCCCGGGCUCAACCUGGGAACUGCAUCCAAAACUAGCGAGCUAGAGUAGGGCAGAGGGUGGUGGAAUUUCCUGUGUAGCGGUGAAAUGCGUAGAUAUAGGAAGGAACACCAGUGGCGAAGGCGACCACCUGGGCUCAUACUGACACUGAGGUGCGAAAGCGUGGAGAGCAAACAGG
rnacentral:rRNA from 1 species